CUAUGAAUAGUGCCGCGAGCAUUGCGUCCCGUGCAAGUAGAGAAGCGAGAGAGAAAAAGAAGCGGGCGAGCAACUGUAGCUAGCGACACCUAACCCGCGUCUCCACCAUGACCCCCGCCUCCUCUCCUGCCGCCGCCGCGCCCUCCCCACCCGCACGCGACCCACCAUCCUCUUCGACCUCCCUCCUAGCCGCCGCUGCCUCUCCUUCUCUUCCUCCUCUCUCUCCUGCUCCGCCGUCCUCCCCCCAUCCACCCAUGCUGCACUCCUAUCCUGUAUCCCGCUGGAUCCGAGGCUUCUCCGACGGAGACGAUGACCUGUAGGCAAAGGGUGACAAUGCAGAGGAGAUGGAGGUGCAGCAGCAUACGGGAGAGGGUCACCAGCCAGCGUCGUCCUGUGCUGGUGAGGUCGGGCUCCACCAUUCCUGUCCGUCGUCCUUACGCGUCACCGGCGCUGGAGUUGCGCGGGGUGUGGGGAAAGCAAGGAGAGGGAGGGGAUGAGUGGGAGGCGCGAGGACGAAGGCGCUCCGGCGGCGGGGCCCGCCAGCCAUGCAGUGCUGGUCGUGGAGUACUCCAGAUCCCCUUUCGCUCGCUGCCACCACGGCCUUUCUCGCCAUCGACCUCCCAGGCUAUUCUCUCCCCAAAUUGUGCCUACAUGGCCAGAUUUAUUCAAGCCCCAGGUGAAGACACCUCCCUCACUGUCCAAGCGUGCUUCUCUACAUGGGCGGCGUCACCACGACCAGUUUGCCGAUUCAAGCCAAGGGUUGCAUUAGAUCUUCACGAAUCAUAUCUAUUAUUUUGAGGAGCACUCAAACAAUUGUAUUGCAAAACAGUAUGCCUUUGUUUGACGGUGUAUUCACCUCAUCAUACCAUCUGUUCUAAUCAAGGCCACAGUCACUGCCCGGAAGGAGAUGUCGGGGUUGUUAUUGACUGGGAGGAGACAAGGAGUAGGAGACAGCAGGAGAGGCAGUAAGCAUCUUGACAAUGAUAGCCGUCACCCGGCUUAUUUGGUUAUCCUUCAUAUGCCUCCUAGGCUGGUUUGUGGGAAUUGACAUGCAUUGCUGUUCCAUUUUACUGAUUUAUUUGAUAAAUAUGUGACCAUACGGGUAACCUAUUGUUUGUUUUAGCACUAUCGGACAAUGCAUUCCUAUUUAACAGGGAAUUGCUUAUCUAUGAUUCAGGCUAGAACAAUUGUUUUCUACUAACGAUUGAAGUUCUACUGUAUUCUUCAGAUUUGCGUAGCGCAUACUGCUCUUUGAACAAGCAGUUGAUGUCUUCACAAAAACUGCUCAAAACCAACUAUGUGUUGUGGUACAGAUCUUUUAUCUCUUUGUUUUGCUCCCUCAAAUUGUUGGAAAAAUGGCUAGCCUAUUUCUUCCUUCAGAUGAUACAUAUGAACAGAUAAUGCUAGGUGGUAGCCUUGCAAGAUGCGCUUUGAUGUUCAUAUGUACUGUCUGCUUGAUGAGAGAAAAAACAAUAAUAUAAUAGAUAGUAAGACGUGUGCUGUUGCUUUGAUAUGGCUUGGAAAAGAGGGUUUAGUAAGGGGAAAUAGCUGGCUGUUAUAGUGUGGCUUUCAUAGUUAGUUAUUUGUUAGAAAAGCUUAAACCUGUUUGUUCCUUGCCAGUCUUAAAGAUCUUCCAAUGCUUGUGAUCCUUUUCCAUAGCUAUUACUUAUUUGUUAGAAAAUAUUACAAUUUCUUCAUUCUACAUGCGGCAAUCGAUUGUUGGAGGUGGUAAUAAUGUAUAAAUUGGCAUGAAAAGCAAGGAUGCAGAACAGAUGGAAAAAUUGAUGUUGAACUCGAAAAUACAUCGCAAGAAAUUUUCUUCAGAGAUGCUAUGAAAAAAAUGAAUAUAUUCUACUGUUUGUGAACAUGUAGGAGAAUGAUAUAUACAUUUAUAGAGUAUGUCCUGCUCGAGAACGGCGGCAAUGGAUGCCGGUGCUCCUCUUCAUCUUUCCCGACCUGCAAGGACGUAAGCAUCCAGUACAGGACUGCACCAGCGCCGGUGGGGGUGUCUGGGGCGCCAGCUCGUCAUCGUCCACACCGUGCUGGAGCAGACACGCCUCUGUACAGCUCUCACGCCCGCAGGAAAAGUUCAAGCUCAUACGACGAUGCUGUUGUUUUUGACCUCCAAGGACGCGUGCCGACAUCCGGGUACGCAAGCAACCAAUACAACCACGACAUGGUCCAGUCGGCCUUCUCUGACGAGCUUCCGCCCUGCACCAAUAGCAGCACCGUGCUGGCUGCUGCAGCAUUGAGUUAACAGCGGUGGUAAGACGGCGACCAUCCCUUCCUUCCUUGCUUGUUUGCAACGAUUUAAUUUUCACCUAGCUCGCUAGACUGGUUUGUUUUGGGGGUGCUCUAAUCUGAUCCCUUGGAGGUGGAUUCACUUCACAUGGAUGGAAACGGAUGCCCUUUAUUUUGUUUAUUCUGUAAUAAAUUCCAAUCAGAAGAAUGUUGUGUCAGUUCACUUGUACACAUGUAUAAAAUAGAGAGGGUAAUUCGGUUCAGAGCGAGACACAUGGAUAGUUCAACCCUGUUUUUUUGUUGUUUCUGACAACAAAUUCAUCAACCAAGCCAGGCAUACAAUGCUACGACUCACUUUUGCUGCUACGUUCACUUGCAACCAGAACACCAGGCCUAAGCUACAACAAACCAGAACACCAGGCCUAGGUCACGAUUCAGCUGAACAGUAGCCUUUUCUUCUGCGUUUAGAGAAGAAAGAAGCCGGUACCUACAGAUGGCAGCAGUUACUCAGUUGAAUCCCAACCUCCGAGUGCAUAGAAUCUACAUUGAUGUAGUUAGCCAUGGAAUAUAGGUCACUGUAUGGCACCAACAGCAUGUGAACCUGCUGCUUGGCGUCUCUAGGGAUCUCCCCCUGGUGGCGCCCUGGGGAGGCGUCGCGAGGGCAUUGGAAACUGCUUAUAUUAUUGAACCUAAUUAUGUAUAAAAUCCCCAUGUUUCUCUUGCUUGCUACUCAAAGCAAGAGCUGGUUGUCCUAAAAAACUUGUGAUAUGACACCGAGGUACUUUUCCCUGUAUGCCAGUGGUGCUAUCUGCAACCCAUUUGCUGCUACUCCUAGCUUACUUUAAAUUUGACUUCCAGUAGGCUUUAAUAUACACAUAACUUUCCAUUAUAUUGUGUUUUUGUGCCAUGUGCGAUGUUGGCUAUCCUCUGUGUGUGAACAUUUAGCUUACUUUUGCAACUAACUAUGAUUUUACAUUUAGCUUGCAAUAAUAUAAUAGCUGAUCCAUUUCAUUCUGAAGUUAAUCUGCUACGUCGCCUCAAAUUUGCAGCAACGCUAUUGUUGCUUUGGAAAUUCUAUUGGAUCUUAUAAAGAUUUUUGGACCUAUUAUUCAUUCGACAUUAUCAGCUCGCUCACUCGUUGGAGUAGAUCUUUACGCCGGAAAGAGGUAUGCUCCCCAAAUUUACUCGAAGAAGGGAGCUGGGUGUUGCUAAGAGAGAUGUUGUCAAAACUUGUGUUGCUACAAGUCUACCAAGGAACUCGGUGCGAGGUGGCAAGUUGGACACAAACUUAUGUUUUGCCGAAACGGUUGCCCUGAAACGAACCGCAUAAUUACUGCAGUCAUCAGUAGCAUAUUUACUCUAGCUGGAACCUAAUUCUCAUAUCCCAUUAAGCUCAUGUGCAUAAAUCAACUAGGUUAAAGAGUGCUAUCAAUUUCCUCAAGAAGACCAGUUGAGAUAUUAUAUGCAUGAUGUGGAUUGUUGAGUUUGCUUGGUUAUUGGAAUGCCAUGCCUGUGCAGAUCAGCGGGGGCUGAGUCCAGGGUGAGACCUUCAAGAUGGAUUUGUUGUUACCGUUAUUUUAGUUUGCGGGUAGAGGAUAUGAUUCCAGCAAGACCGAGACAACGAUGAUGAAAGGUGAGAUUUAUGUUAAGGAAUAUUAGCAGAUGUUCACAGGAUCACUGGAAGCAUAUAAAGGUAUCCACAAGGAUAGUUGCUUUCUUAUCGACUCAGAAUUAAAGUAUAGUUAUAGACAGUCAAGAGUAGUUGUCUUUUUAUUUAUUCGAAAACACAGUGUACCUUUUGUGAUCGUAGCUGUAUGCAAUGAUCCAUCAUGUAUUUUUUUUCUAAACCACAACCCCUAAUUGUUUGAUGUUAUGAAAUGUCUAUGUUUUUUGUUUA